AAUAAGAAUCAGUUUAGCUCAAAGUGAUCGAUCAACGACUCUGGUCAGGAGGAAUGUAAUACCGUCUCAUCAGGCAAUUUCUAAAAGACUCAAUUAAAGUUGUAGUUAACCCUAUAAGAACUCACCCCUAGUCCUAGAUUAUUUAAUUAAGCUAUUAGUUGAACAUAUGAACUCAAUUGAAAUUGUAUAAAACAAAUGUUUAAGCUGUUACAACAGAUAUCUUUACUAUUAGAUUUAAUCAAACAGGUUAAGUUAUCUAUUGC
rnacentral:lncRNA from 1 species